CUGAGGGUGACCUUGGCACCCUCCAUAGCUCCCGGGAAGGAGCCUGCAGCCAGCUGGGGGAUCGGCCUCUGCUCCCAGACAACCAGCGACAGGACAGGACAAGGGGACAAACUCUCAAACUGCACCAGGGGAGGCUGAGGUCCAGAGGCCUCCAGAGCAGAGGAUCAGCCUCCAGGCAGUCACAGUGUGUUGGGCAAGGAGCCCACCUUAGCGCCCUACCUGCUGGCACACCCAACAUCUGCUGGCCCUGCCACCGCUUCCAGGACAGCACAGCUCUGAACUCCCACCCCGUUAGAGACCCGGCAGACUCCUCUUUCUGUACACUUCCAUCUUUAAAGGUUCUGCUGUUUCCUGUCACUGUCUGCCAAAUGGGGAAGUACAGAAUCUAAAUCUGUUAAAUAAGAAGUAAUAUUUCUGCCCAAGAAGAAAGCACAAAAGCCAGAAGUCCACUGAGGAUUCACCAACACACUUAGUACAUGAUGUAUUGCAUCAACUCCAAAGAAGUUAAUUUGCCAUUCAAGAGGAUUUUGUUUAUAAAAAACUUAACAUUUCCAUAACUUUGCACAUACUUAUAUGUCCAGAUCUUUCUAAGUAUGACUAUGCUUUGCUAGUUACACAAUUAUUCAAUAUUUGCCAUUUUUAAUGCUUUUUUCAGAGGGACAUUUGAUGUUAUUCAGUGAAAGUGCUCACUAAUCUCAAGCUAAAGUUGCAAUGCUACAUGGCUAGUGGUGAUGAGCAGAAAUAAGGCUCAUCAAUCGUAAAAUCAGGUCUAAACUACCCUGAUACAUCACUAUUUAGCAUUUGUGGAAUAUGAAUGUUUUUCAGAGCAGAGCUGCAGACAGUUCCUUGCAGAGGUCUGUGCUCUGCACACCCACCGCUAUCCAUCAGCCGCGCAACAGAGAGGCCACUCCUGCUCUCCCACAGGAACACGAACCCCAGGAACGUGGGUGUGUUCCUUUGUAAAUCUCUACAGUAGUUAGCUCAGAUGGGCAGGCUUUGGUAACGAAACCAACAAAAAACCCUGCAGUGCUGCACUACAGCAAUGCACCAGAGGUCAUGGCCACAGCCAUCUGCUGGAGUGCCGCAAUAAAAGCUGCCAACCCAGAUCCAAACUUUCCUGAAGAUGUAAUAGCAAAGAAAUGGAGGCUGGAUUGCUGGAUAUAGUUAACCAAACAUACAUGGAAUGUUGGUGUUGAACAAUUAUCCAGAAGUAGUAAUGCAUGAGAUUCCACCAACUUAUGUUUCAGUUUCAGUAUCACAUCAUCAGUAGCACAGAAACGCUCUCCAGAAGACUUUUCCAAAAUAAAACAGGAAUGCCAGGACCAUAUUUAGUGAAACUAAACUUAAGAGCAUUUCAUUGUCAGAUGAAGGCUCCACUGAUUACCCUGUAAGGUAAUACUGCAAAUAUUUAUUAUUCAUAUAGUUCAAGAGAUUAAGAAAAGAAACAAAAUUAAACAAGGUGCUAUUCUCAUCAGCGUAAAACCCCAGAGCAGUUUGUCUAUUGCAUGGUCACUGCAAAUAUAUUCUGCAGCAGCAGAGAUGUUCUGCAGUGCCUUAGAGAUGUAAAAACUGUGGAGAAAUAUCUGACACACUAACAAACCUGAUCACUGAAUUUGUUGUUACACUAAACUUUUACACCCUUCCAGUGAAUUUUCCCUCCCUCAACUAUGAAGUGAUAACUCAUUCAGUCCAGGCUAUUUUUCAGAGCAGAUAUCAAUUUUUUACAAAAUUAAGUGUCUACAGAGAAUAGAUGCCACUCCUGAUACACUGGUACAUGUAAUUCUCAAAUAUGGUCUUGUUCAUACAACAGGAAUAUUGCUUUUCAUAUUCUGAUUUGCAUUAAUAAUGAUGAUUAACAUACAGGUCUUGAAAAUAUUGCAUCCUAAUAAUUCUCUCUGUAAUGAAUGAGUAAGAAUAUCCACAUUUUCACAAUAAGGAAGUCUGCUUUUAAAAAGUCACAAUUUAAGAGUCUGGGAAUGAAUUCAGCAA